UGGGGCAGGCUCCCCCUUCUUCCCACAGCAGCAAGCAGGCUUCUCUCCGCCUCUCUGCGUCUUGGCCUCUGGGCCCCAGCACCUCUCAAUUGUCAGACUCCUCCCUCCUGCAUGGGGCUCCCUCCCAGGGGUGCAAUGGAGGUCAUGGUCCUAGCCAGGAAUGGGAUGAUUGCAGGGAGAGCUCCCUCAGGGGGCAGAGAGAAAGCAGGAGAAAGCAAGAGCCUUUCUUCUUCAUCCCCCUUGGGGAGCUAAUUACAGGCCAGCAGCCCACUGCACAGGUUCCCUGAUCUGCCCACCCCUCAAGAGUUCAGCCAACCACGUGUGGCAGCCCCCAGCCAGCAUUCCAAGGAAGACGAGUCUGAUCACAGGUGAGCCUUGGUGACCAACAGCCCAAGGACAUCACUGGGAUGCUCUGGAGGAGCUGGAGACAAGGUGUGGACCAUACGAUGAGGCCACAGAGGGCGAGGGCUCUCAGGAACCCCUGCUACCCCACAGCUAAGCCCAUACAUCCUCCGAGGAUCUCUGUCUUCUGUGGGGAUCAUCAUAUGGGGACGCAAUGAAGGAACUUAAAGAUCUACGAGGCCCAAGGUUCACCAUCCUAAAGCUUGUGACUUACCUCUGGCUUUCACUUCAGUUUAUCUGAUCUGGACAGGCAAGCUCAUACCCAUGAUGUGGAUUAGGAAAUCAAAACAGGGACAGGGAAUUCUGAUUUAUUCAAGAUCACAGAUCAAGUUACCCUCCCUCCCGGGGGUCAGAUCAACCACAGGCCAGAUCUUCCCCCUCAGCCCUGUGGUGCAUUUCCUGGAAAUGUGAUGGUGCCAGAUGUUUUGUUUGUUUAUGUAACAGCAUCUGAGAGGAGCGGGGCUGCUCCAGGCAGUGGAUCUAUGCCCCGGCCCCAUCCCUAGGUACACCCUGUCUUCCACCCCUAAGACAGCAAGGUACAGCCCCGGGAAGGAGUUUGAAUGGGAACAUCCAGGAGGUCUUAAAACACUCCUGUGGCCCCAGGGCUCACUGCUUCUCCUAUAGUCUCAUUCACUGCCACAAAGCUGCCCCCAAAACAGCCUCAGGACCCCCACACUCACCCUGCAGCCGUGGGUCCAUUCUGGCCAUGCCCCCAAGGAAAAUAAUGGAACAUGGAGACAAACCCAGCCAAGCCCUGACCUCUUUGCACUCAGUCCUAACUUAGCAAGCUUCCCUCAAGGCUCCAGGCCUUUUCUUUCCCUUGCCCUGACUCCUGCCGCAUGGGAAAACCCCUCUGUGGUCUAAUCAACACUUGUCUCUCUGAGAAGGGACAGUCCCUUGUCUCUGGAGAUUGACCAUUCAGUGCCUCCUUAGCCCUCUUCCUCAGCCCUGGGCCAAAAUCAGGAGCCAUCUGGAGCUCAGAGAGAAGGAAGGGAGCAUAGCCAUAACUCUGUCCCUGCUCCAAGUAGGUGUCAUCUUGUGCAGCCCCCUGCCUUAGCUUCAGGUAAGGCCUUCUUAUUUAGACUCCUGCCCCAGACAGGGGUCAUCCCAUCUAACUGCCUUUGUCCUAGGCAGGCACCAGCUUGCCCAUCUUCCCUCCCUUCCCCUGCUCUCCAAGCUGGGAGCAGGCGACUCACGGUGCAGACUGAGGGAGAUGUUGAUGGUGUGCUCAUCCACGAAGCCCUUCAGGCCGGGCAUGCGGGCACACUUGAGCUGUGUCUGGGCAGCGCUGUCCCCAACAUGCACCCAACACACAGUCUCGUUGGUGUAGCUGAAGUCCAUGGCUGUGGUCUGCCGUGUACUAGUGGGCGUGAUGGUAGACACUUGGGCCCCACUCAGGUACGUAGCCAGGAUGUUCUGGGAGUUGGCAAUCAGCAGCACAGGGGGCCGGUCUACUGGCUCUGUAGGUGGAGGAGAGAAGGGUCGAUGCAGCAAGGGGCUCUAGGACCUCUCAGGCCACUCCCCAUCAGGGAGCAACAUGGAGGCCACCUAUCAUUGUGACCACAGGUGACCCCACCUACCAUUCUUGGCCUUGCAGGAGCGGUUGUCUGGCUGCAGCAGGUAUCCUUCCACACAGCCACAUGUAAAGGAGCCAUCUGUGUUGGUGCACAGCUGGCUGCAGGUGCCGUAAACUGAGCACUCAUCAAAGUCUGCCGGGAAAAGGGCAAGAGCAUGGUCAUCUCCAGUGUAAUAAGGACAGGGAAGUGGGUGCCCUCAGACACCAUCCAAAGGUGGUGUCCAUCCCUACAGCCUCUUCGGAGGGCGAUUUGGCAGAAUCUACCACAACAGGAAAAGUGCAAACUUUAUCACCUAGCAAGUCCGAACUUGGAACUACCGAACUUGGAACAUCCGAACUACCCUCGAGAAAUACCCACACGCAUGCACAUCAUCCAUUCAUUCAGAAAAGAUUUCUUGAGUGUCUACUAUAUGCCAGGUACCGUCCUAGGCUCUGAAGAUAUAUCCGUGAAUAAAAGAGAUUCAAACUGC